UACGUAGGGGGCUAGCGUUGUCCGGAAUCAUUGGGCGUAAAGCGCGUGUAGGCGGCCCGGUAAGUCCGCUGUGAAAGUCGGGGGCUCAACCCUCGAAUGCCGGUGGAUACUGUCGGGCUAGAGUACGGAAGAGGCGAGUGGAAUUCCUGGUGUAGCGGUGAAAUGCGCAGAUAUCAGGAGGAACACCAUGCGAAGGCAGCUCGCUGGGACGUCACUGACGCUGAGACGCGAAAGCGUGGGGAGCAAACAGGAUAG
rnacentral:rRNA from 1 species